GUGUCAGCCGCCGCGGUAAUACGUAGGUGGCAAGCGUUAUCCGGAAUUAUUGGGCGUAAAGCGCGCGUAGGCGGUUUUUUAAGUCUGAUGUGAAAGCCCACGGCUCAACCGUGGAGGGUCAUUGGAAACUGGAAAACUUGAGUGCAGAAGAGGAAAGUGGAAUUCCAUGUGUAGCGGUGAAAUGCGCAGAGAUAUGGAGGAACACCAGUGGCGAAGGCGACUUUCUGGUCUGUAACUGACGCUGAUGUGCGAAAGCGUGGGGAUCAA
rnacentral:rRNA from 1 species